UCAAGCGAAUAAGUGCACAUGGUGGAUGCCUUGGCGGCAACAGGCGAUGAAGGACGUAGUAGCCUGCGAUAAGCCUCGGGGAGCUGGCAAACAAGCUUUGAUCCGAGGAUUUCCGAAUGGGGAAACCCACCCGCAAGGGUACCUUGCAGUGAAUACAUAGCUGCAUGGAGCUAACCCGGGGAACUGAAACAUCUCAGUACCCGGAGGAAAAGAAAUCAACCGAGAUUCCGCUAGUAGUGGCGAGCGAACGCGGAGCAGCCCUUAAGUUGUCAGUGCUUUAGUGGAACAGUCUGGAAAGUCUGGUCAUAGUGGGUGAUAGCCCCGUACACAAAAAGGCAUUGGCAAUGAAAUCGAGUAGGACGGGACACGUGUAAUCCUGUCUGAAUAUGGGGGGACCAUCCUCCAAGGCUAAAUACUCGUUGCCGACCGAUAGUGAACCAGUACCGUGAGGGAAAGGCGAAAAGAACCCCGGAGAGGGGAGUGAAAUAGAACCUGAAACCGUGUGCAUACAAGCAGUCGGAGGGCCGCAAGGCCUGACGGCGUACCUUUUGUAUAAUGGGUCAGCGAGUUGCUUUUAGUGGCGAGGCUAACCGUAUAGGGGAGCCGUAGGGAAACCGAGUCUUAACAGGGCGAUCAGUCGCUAGGAGCAGACCCGAAACCAGUCGAUCUACCCAUGGCCAGGCUGAAAGUGGGGUAACACCUGCUGGAGGGCCGAACGAACCACUGUUGCAAAAGUGCGUCGAUGAGCUGUGGGUCGGAGUGAAAGGCUAAACAAGGCUGGAGAUAGCUGGUUCUCCCCGAAAGCUAUUGAGGUAGCGCCUCGUGAAUCACCCUCGGGGGUAGAGCACUGUUACGGCUAGGGGCCCGUCUAGGGCUGCCAAACCGUUGCAAACUCCGAAUACCGAGGAGUGCAAUCACGGGAGACACACGGUGGGCGCUAACGUCCGUCGUGAAGAGGGAUACAACCCAGACCGCCAGCUAAGGUCCCAAAAUCACAGCUCAGUGGUGAACGAUGUGGGAAGGCUUAAACAGCCAGGAUGUUGGCUUAGAAGCAGCCAUCAUUUAAAGAAAGCGUAAUAGCUCACUGGUCGAGUCGGCCCGCGCGGAAGAUUCAACGGGGCUCAAGCUGUGUACCGAAGCUGCGGAUGUGUAAGGUCUUCGGAUCUUAUACGUGGUAGGGGAGCGUUCUGUACGUCUGCGAAGGAGAUUGGUAACGAUCUCUGGAGAUAUCAGAAGUGCGAAUGCUGACAUGAGUAGCGUUAAUGCGGGUGAAAAACCCGCACGCCGAAAGUCCAAGGUUUCCUGCGCAACGUUAAUCGGCGCAGGGUGAGUCGGCCCCUAAGGCGAGGUCGAAAGACGUAGUCGAUGGGAAGCAGGUUAAUAUUCCUGCACCACUCAUAACUGCUAUGGGAAGACGGAGAAGGCUAAAUCAUCCGGGCGUUGGUUAUCCCGGUUUAAGUGUGUAGGCGUACUGCAUAGGUAAAUCCGUGCGGAUUAGCUGAGACAUGAAUACGACUGUUUCGCAAGAAACGGGAAGUGAUUGAUGCCCUGCUUCCAAGAAAAUUCUCUAUGCUUCAGGUUAUGAGGACCGUACCCCAAACCGACACUGGUGGACGAGAUGAAAAUUCUAAGGCGCUUGAGAGAACUCGGGUUAAGGAACUCGGCAAAUUGACACCGUAACUUCGGAAGAAGGUGUGCCCAUGCCAGGUGAAGGCGUACAGCCGGAGCCGAGAUGGGCCGCAGAGAAUCGGUAGCUGCGACUGUUUAUCAAAAACACAGCACUGUGCAAACACGAAAGUGGACGUAUACGGUGUGACGCCUGCCCGGUGCCGGAAGGUUAAGUGAUGGGGUCAGCCGCAAGGCGAAGCUCUUGAUCGAAGCCCCGGUGAACGGCGGCCGUAACUAUAACGGUCCUAAGGUAGCGAAAUUCCUUGUCGGGUAAGUUCCGACCUGCACGAAUGGCGUAACGAUAGCUACACUGUCUCGACCCGAGACUCAGCGAAGUUGAAAUCGCUGUGAAGAUGCAGCGUUCCCGCCGCAAGACGGAAAGACCCCGUGAACCUUUACUAUACCUUCACACUGAACUUUGAA
rnacentral:rRNA from 1 species